rnacentral:rRNA from 1 species
GACGAACGCUGGCGGCGUGCUUAACACAUGCAAGUCGAACGAUGAAGCCUAGCUUGCUGGGUGGAUUAGUGGCGAACGGGUGAGUAACACGUGAGUAACCUGCCCUGGACUCUGGGAUAAGCGUUGGAAACGACGUCUAAUACCGGAUGGGACCUUGCACCGCAUGGUGUGGGGUGGAAAGUUUUUCGGUUUGGGAUGGACUCGCGGCCUAUCAGCUUGUUGGUGAGGUAAUGGCUUACCAAGGCGUCGACGGGUAGCCGGCCUGAGAGGGUGACCGGCCACACUGGGACUGAGACACGGCCCAGACUCCUACGGGAGGCAGCAGUGGGGAAUAUUGCACAAUGGGCGCAAGCCUGAUGCAGCAACGCCGCGUGCGGGAUGACGGCCUUCGGGUUGUAAACCGCUUUUGUCCAGGAAGAAGCCUCUUGGGGUGACGGUACUGGGAGAAAAAGGACCGGCUAACUACGUGCCAGCAGCCGCAGUAAGAC